UACGGGGGGAGCAAGCGUUGUUCGGAUUUACUGGGCGUAAAGGGCGCGUAGGCGGUCGUGACAAGUCACUUGUGAAAUCUCCGGGCUUAACUCGGAACGGUCAAGUGAUACUGUCGGACUAGAGUACAGAAGGGGCAACUGGAAUUCUCGGUGUAGCGGUGAAAUGCGUAGAUAUCGAGAGGAACACCUGCGGCGAAGGCGGGUGGCUGGGCCGACACUGACGCUGAGGCGCGAAAGCCAGGGGAGCGAACGGG
rnacentral:rRNA from 1 species